UCACUAUUAAUCUUGCCCCAAAAUGCACAGAGAUGGAGCUCCAAUUACAUAUAUAAAGCAUACCUCAGUGGGUUCCUAGAACAUAGUCUCACUAUCAGAGGCGAAUUAAGGAUUUGAAUUUUGUGAAUUCUGGAUUCUAGGACAGCGACCCCAAGUGCUAGUAGCUGGGUUCUGAAUUGGGCUAAAGCUACUAGGUUCCGCCGAACCCAUAUCUUAAAGCCUACAUCUUCCCCUGCUCGUUAUGCAUUGGAAUUCCUCAGAAAACACAGUAUUCAGGACUGCAUGAUCAUAUAUUUAAGCGGUUCCUAACACAUUUUUUUAAUCCAAACGUGUUUACAUAGAUAAUGAUAAAAAAAACCACAAAUGUUAUGGUACCCCUUUAUAGCACUUCUUGCACGAGUAUAAAAACUACAAAUGUUAAUAAUAUAUAAAGACAGAGAACGAGAGAGAGAGAGAGAGAGAGAGAUCGUACGAUAGGGUUGCGUUCAUUGAUAAGAGAUGGGUUGUCAUUGAGCAUCUUUCGAAAGGCAACAACGUCUCCAGAUUGUGCUAAGCCAUGAAUGGUAAUGGGCCUUGAGGAUCUUGACCGUUGAUCCCGCGGCCUCUGCAUCUUUUCUUUAAUUAUUUCCUGUCGUAAUUUUCCUCCCUCUAACGAAAGAAAAACAAAGGAAGCAAAAACAGAGAGGUAGGAGAAAGAGAAAUGGAUGACGUCGGUGUAAUAGAAAGGGAAUAUCAGCCUUUCAGUCUCAGGGGAAUUUCGUCAAACAAGUCAUGUGUGAGUCAUGCUACGCGGAAAAUGAAAUGAAAUGGAAUGGAAGUGUCCGCAUUUCGUACACGGAUUCGGCGCGUAGCAUUGGCCGGUGGAAUUUUUUUAUCCUAUUUUGAUGGCUUUACAGCUGCAAGACCAAUAGCACUGCACCUCCCAAUUUUCUGGUCUUUUUCUAUUUCGUUAAUUAUAG
rnacentral:lncRNA from 1 species